rnacentral:rRNA from 1 species
AACGAACGCUGGCGGCAGGCCUAACACAUGCAAGUCGAGCGAACCGCAAGGUUAGCGGCGGACGGGUUAGUAACGCGUGGGAACGUGCCCAAAGGUACGGAAUAGCCUCGGGAAACUGAGAGUAAUACCGUAUGUGCCCGAAAGGGGAAAGAUUUAUCGCCUUUGGAUCGGCCCGCGUUGGAUUAGGUAGUUGGUGGGGUAACGGCCUACCAAGCCGACGAUCCAUAGCUCGUGUGAGAGGAUGAUCAGCAACCCUGGGACUGAGACACGGCCCAGACUCCUACGGGAGGCAGCAGUGGGGAAUCUUAGACAAUGGGGGAAACCCUGAUCUAGCCAUGCCGCGUGAGCGAUGAAGGCCUUAGGGUUGUAAAGCUCUUUCACCGGGGAAGAUAAUGACGGUACCCGGAGAAGAAGCCCCGGCUAACUCCGUGCCAGCCGCCGCGGUAACAC